rnacentral:lncRNA from 1 species
CUCACUUAUGGGGCUGGAGCCAUCUCACUUAUGGGGCUGAACCCAUCUCACUUAUGGGGCUGGAGCCAUCUCACUUAUGGGGCUGGAACCAUCUCACUUAUGGGGCUGGGAGGGGAAGGGGACUGAGCACAUCUCACUUAUGGGGCUGGGAACUAAAACCAUCUCACUUAUGGGGCUGGGAGGGGGAGAAGCACAAAUCACUUGUGGGGCUGGGAGGGGGCUGAGCACAUCUCACUUAUGGGGCUGGAGCCAUGUCACUUAUGGGUCUGGGAGAGAGAGGAGCAUGAAUCACUUAUGGGGCUGGGGGCUGAACCUAUCUCACUUAUGGGGCUGGGAAGGGAUAGGGGACUGAGCCCAUGCUACUUAUGGGGCUGAACCUGUCUCACUUAUGGGGCUGAGAGAGGAAUGGGGCCAAACCCACGUCACUUAUGGGGCUGGGAGAGGAAUGGGGCCAUGGGGACCGAACCCAUAUCAACUUAUGGGGCUGAACACAAGGCAGGACCCGAACCCUUCUCACUUCUAGGUCUGGCCGCUGUCACUUAUGGGGCAGGCGCCAUCCAGGCCCCCCACGCCGUGUUCCUGGUGCCGCUGGCCUGUGCCCAUCUCACUUAUGGGGCUGGGGACAGAACCCACGUCACUUAUGGGGCUGAAAACAACAGGAUCUCACUUAUGGGGCUGGGAAUGACAGCAUCUAUCUCACUUAUGGGGCUGGGAGAGGGAUGGGGACCGAACCCUUCUCACUUAUGGGGCUGGGAGCCAUCACUUAUGGGGCUGGAAGAGGGAUGGGGACUGACAGGAUCUCACUUAUGGGGCUGGGAGAGGAUGGGGACCAAACCCAGGUCACUUAUGGGGCAGGGACUGAACCCAUGUCACUAUGGGCCGAACCCAGGUCACUUAUGGGGCUGGGACUAACAGGACCUCACUUAUGGGGCUGGGAGAGGGACGGGGACUGAACCCAUAUCAACUUAUGGGCCGAACCCAGGUCACUUAUGGGGCUGGGAUGGGCUGAGAACCGAACCCGGAUCACUUAUGGGGCCGAACAGAAGGCAGGACGGCGAAACCCUUCUCACUCUGGAUCUGGACGCCGUCAAUUAUGGGGCAGAGCCGUACCUUAUGGGGCAGGCGCCAUCCACGCCCCCCACGCCGCG